UACGUAGGGUGCAAGCGUUGUCCGGAAUUAUUGGGCGUAAAGAGCUCGUAGGCGGUUUGUUGCGUCGGCUGUGAAAUCCCGAGGCUCAACCUCGGGUCUGCAGUCGAUACGAACAAACUAGAGUGUUGCAGGGGAGACUGGAAUUCCUGGUGUAGCGGUGAAAUGCGCAGAUAUCAGGAGGAACACCGGUGGCGAAGGCGGGUCUCUGGGCAACAACUGACGCUGAGGAGCGAAAGCGUGGGGAGCGAACAGG
rnacentral:rRNA from 1 species